rnacentral:misc_RNA from 1 species
GAUGAAGAACGCAGCGAAAUGCGAUACGUAAUGUGAAUUGCAGAAUUCAGUGAAUCAUCGAAUCUUUGAACGCAUAUUGCGCUCUUUGGUAUUCCGAAGAGCAUGCUUGUUUGAGUAUCAGUAAACACCUCAAAGUCUUUUUUUUUUCUUGAAGAAAAAGACCUUGGACUUGAGCAAUCCCAACUCUUCUUUCAGAAGAGGCGGGUUGCUUGAAAUGCAGGUGCAGCUGGACAUUCUCCUGAGCUAAAAGCAUAUUCAUUUAGUCCCGUCAAACGGAUUAUUACUUUUGCUGCAGCUAACAUAAAGGGAGUUUGACCAUUUUGGCUGACUGAUGCAGGAAUUUCACAAGAGUCUUCAAAACGCUCUUGUUAAACUCGAUCUCAAAUCAAGUAAGACUACCCGCUGAACUUAAGCAUAUCAAUAAGCGGAGGA